rnacentral:sRNA from 1 species
CAUUCCAAGCCAAGAGUUGAACCUUGUGGCUCGAGCGAAGGCUCUGGGUCACACAGUUUCUAAAGAGGAGGGAACCGGAUAAGGUUGGCUUCACAAAGCAACAACUACCUCCCGCUCUUCGCCGUGGAAG